CUUGAAAAAAGUUAUUAUUUUUUGUAUACUGGAAAAUGUCAGCAAUGACUAUGAUACUAAAUCUUAAUUGGAAUAGGUAUUUCGGACUGGGGGGCGGUACCCCAUACCUCCACCAAAAAAAGAUAUAUGGGGGUAAAAUAGCAUCGACGGAUACAAUAAAGGAUUAAGGUGUAUCAAGUGAUGAUUCCGACUUUCAAUCGGGUCAAAAAAAAUGAACGCAAAUGAUAAUCGUUCUUUCGCAAUGGCUGCUUAAUAGUAAGCUUAGCGAACCAAAUUCUUUGAGGAUAUAGAACCCUUAAAGUGGGGUUUGGGGCUUUCCUAUCAACAGAAAAGCCCCA
rnacentral:tmRNA from 1 species